AAUCUUCUUUGCAAUCUUUUGUAAACUGGCUCAACACUUGAUCAAUUUUAUCCUCAGUAAGGUUUUCAACAUCGCUAAGCACCCCUUUGGCCCAUUCAUUUGGUAUAAACUGAAACAAAUCCAGGAAUCGUGUUACAUGAAGAAACAUUCACAAUCCUGGGUGAAUCAGAUAGCUGGAGGAGAGGAAGAAGUGCUUCUGUCACUGCUUUGGCACCAUAGAAAUUGGUUUUGACACAUUCCGUAGUUAAUUCAUAAGUUUCUGUCAUAAGUUUACUCCAACUUUUAAUAUCUGCCCCUAUCUGCAUUAAACAUUAAAAAACAGUGAACCCUUUGAAAUAAUGAAAUAAGAUACUAUACGUUACUUUAAUUGUUCUCCAAAUGUUGAUUGAGGCCAAAAUCACAUGUUGGUGUGCUUUAUGACAGUAUGUAAUUCAAAGUUCAAGUAAUUUAUUUUUAUUUUGAUAAAAGUUCAGACAUAAUUUAUGUUUAUUUCUAUUGUAAUUCCUUCCUUCUACAAACAUUAAACUAUAAGAAAGUUUAUUAAGCUCUU